rnacentral:misc_RNA from 1 species
AAAGUCUUGGUUUCAGUUGCUUCGUCAAAAAUGAAAAUACAAGAAUUUAUCCUCAAUUAAUUUACUAAAUUAAAAAGCCUGUAGAAAAUAGAUACUGAAAAGACUUAAAAUAGAAAUUCAUGAGUACAAAAAUUCUGCAAAAUCUAGAAUAUGAAGUUGAAAAAUAAAGGAAGAAAGAGCUACAUUUAGACAUCCACCAGAAAAAAUUAUAAGUUUUUCAUUAACGUUGGAACUCUAUCUUGUCAAAUCUCAGCCGUUAACUUCUCAAUCAAAGAUUUUAAAGAAGCAUGUGAUGAUCCAUUUUCCAUCACAGCCAUCUUACUUUUUUUACUCAUCUCCUUAACCUUCCUCCUCACCUCGUCAUCAACGUCCAUCAAUCUCUUUAUCCCCCUCUCCACUUCCUCUGCUAGCACCAGAUCACCACUUUCAUUCCUAAAAUCCACUCUGAUCUCAACCGCUAAUCCCAACUCUUUAACUAAUUGGAAUGCAUUCAUCUGUUGCUCCGCAUAAAUUGGCCACGUGGCAAUCGGUACACCAUACCAAAGGCUCUCAAGUAUUGAAUUCCAGCCGCAGUGCGACACAAACCCCCCUAUCGCUUCAUUGGCCAAGAUUGUCACUUGCGGGACCCAUCCACAAAUCAAACCAAUCUCAGCCGUCCGAUCAAGAAAUCCUUCUGGUAGUAUCUCUUCCGCAUUUGCAUAAUCACUUGGAAGGUCCAGACUUCCCUUGGGUGGUUCACGGAUGGACCACAAGAACCGAAAGCCGGACCGCUCGAGCCCAAACGCUAUCUCUCGCAACUGUGAUCUACCAAGACUGCCCAUGCUCCCAAAGCACAAGAACACCACCGACGACCUAGGCUGAUCAUCAAGCCAUUUCAUUAUAUUGUGUUGUUGGUCCCGGUCCGGAUGCCAUUCGAUUGGACCUGCAAGGUCAAGAACGGGUCCGACUGGGAAGACCUCCGGCACUUUAGUAGUUGCUGCAACUGAGUUAAUCGCAUACUGUUCCAGCUCUCGAUAUGUAUUUACGACCACACCCUUCGUUUCCACGUACCUGCGUGCAUGGUAUAAAAACCAAGAAUACCCAUCUUUCUUCCUUUUCAAAACUGAACUAGGCAGUACUUUUGGAGGCAAGGGAUUGGCAAAACCCGGUAUUAUCAACUCAGUUGCAGCAUCUUUAGGUACAAUCAUCUCAUUAUCCGAGUCAAUGAACUCAGUAGCGAGUUGAGUGUCUAUAACUGGCAAAUGUAACAUAAAACCCAAGAAACUAACUGGAGAAGCAUAGUAGAGAUAACAAGGAAUGUUAAGCUCAUUAGCAACAUCAAUCAUAGAAGUAGAGAACAUAUCAACUAACAAUCCACAAACUCGAGCUGAGUCAGACUCGGCUUGUUGGAGUUUAUCAAUUUCAUGCUUUACAUGUAGCUUGUGUUUUUGGAUUAAGAGUGAUAAGUAACCUAGUGAUGAUUGGUACUGAUCGGGUGAAGGUGUGUCUACAGGAGGGAGGUGGAUGAAAUUGACACCGGAGUAUGUAGAGGCACGUGAUUGGAUGUAGGAGUUGACGAUGGGUCUUUGGGAUAAAGAAAUGAUGAAUAUGGUGGAGGAGAUUCUAGGGUCAUGAUGAAUCAGACGCUGGGCGAAUUCAACAGUGGGAACUAGGUUUCCAAUUCCAGGAGUGGAGACGAAGAACACCUGAUAUUUGCUCAUGGAUUAGUUACACUGAGUUUAAGGAGGGAGAGAUCAGGUAGAGGGAAAAGAUGCAAGUGAUACUGAUGAAUGAUGGAGUUACUUUAUGUUGAAUCAUGGAAUGGAUGAGUUAGGAUUAGGUUGUUUUGGCCAGCCAGAGUCUUUUCUACUUUUUAUUUUUAUUCAUAUUCUUUUAAAGGAAUA